GUUUAGAACGUCGUGAGACAGUUCGGUCCCUAUCUGCCGUGGGCGUUGGAAGAUUGAGAGGGGUUGCUCCUAGUACGAGAGGACCGGAGUGAACGCACCACUGGUGUUCGGGUUGUCAUGCCAAUGGCAUUGCCCGGUAGCUAAGUGCGGAAAAGAUAAGCGCUGAAAGCAUCUAAGCGCGAAACUUGCCUCAAGAUGAGUCUUCCCUGGGCCUUCAAGGCCCCUGAAGGAACGUUUAAGACUAAGACGUUGAUAGGCUGGGUGUGUAAGUGCAGCGAUGCAUUGAGCUAACCAGUACUAAUGAUCCGUGAGGCUUAACCUU
rnacentral:rRNA from 1 species